rnacentral:rRNA from 1 species
ACGAACGCUGGCGGCAUGCCUAACACAUGCAAGUCGAACGAGACCUUCGGGUCUAGUGGCGCACGGGUGCGUCACGCGUGGGAACCUGCCCUUAGGUUCGGAAUAACUCCCCGAAAGGGGUGCUAAUACCGGAUAAUGUCUUCGGACCAAAGAUUUAUCGCCUUUGGAUGGGCCCGCGUUGGAUUAGCUAGUUGGUAGGGUAAAAGCCUACCAAGGCGACGAUCCAUAGCUGGUCUGAGAGGAUGAUCAGCCACACUGGGACUGAGACACGGCCCAGACUACUACGGGAGGCAGCAGUGGGGAAUAUUGGACAAUGGGCGAAAGCCUGAUCCAGCAAUGACGCGUGAGUGAUGAAGGCCUUAGGGUUGUAAAGCUCUUUUACCCGGGAUGAUAAUGACAGUACCGGGAGAAUAAGCUCCGGCUAACUCCGUG